AACAAUCUGAAGCUGAAGAAGAAGAAUUGAGA
rnacentral:sRNA from 1 species